ensembl:lncRNA
CAGAAAAGUACAUAAAUCAUGAAGUUACAGCUUGUUUAAUUUUUGUAAACUGACUACACCAUGUAAUCAGUACCCAGAUAAAGAAAUAGAAUAUGCUCUAAUGGGCCUGCUCAUGCCCUCUUCAAGUCCAAAAUAUAACUCGACACUGGUCGACAUUUAAAAAUUCCCUAUGUGGACAAUACCUGGAGUAUUACUGAAAUAAAAGGAGAGAGCCCAAGCAAUGUUCAUUUCUUCAUUCAACAAAUGUUUUCUGGCAUCUGCCCUGGGCUGGAUGCCAGGAAAAGUGGGAUGAGUUGGCUCAGCGCUGGUUCUAGGGCACAGAAUCUGCGGAGGUAACCCUGUGUGUGUGGGACGCGUGCAGGAAAGGGAGUUUGUGAAGCAGAUAAGAACACAAAUGCCUUGGCCAAGCCUAACCAGAAGCAGGGCAGGGGCUAGAGAGGGAGGGAAGUUGUCGUUUUUGGUAGGGUGGUCAGGGAAGGCUCUUUGAGGAGGCGACACAGGAACCCAAAGGUAAUGAGGAAGCAAGUUUUACAAGGAUGGGAAGACCGGAAGGGGGGUGGCGCCUGAGGAAGGACCUUCCCUGAUGGGUCUGGGUCUGAGGAGUGGAGGCCAAGGUGACUGCAGGGGGAGGAUGUUGGAGACUUAGCUAGUUGGGACCCCCCAGCACUCUCUCCAUCUCCAUCUCCCCGAUCCUGAAAGUGAGCCACCAGGGGACCUCCGGCUGCUUCUCUUGGGUCUUUCUCUAUCAGCAGAGGCCCGCACACGGAUGGAUGCCGGGCGUUGGCCAUCAGAACCAGUGCCCAGCUGACCUGUUACCUCCCCGCCCCUCAACCCCCCGCUCAUACCUAAUCAAUACUGGCAAAGACCUCCAUUGUACAGUUGAGGAAACCGAGGCUCAGAGCCCUUCUCAACACCCUGCACAGUGCCAGGCAAAGGAGUCAGCGGGGACGGGAAGGACUUUGCCAUCGUGCCCCCCAGUAGACCUCUUUAUGGAGGGGGGUUCACCUCUUUCUCGGUUCUGCAGACGAAGUUUCCAGCGGAAACUGGACUUGGCAACUUGAUGGAGGAGUGGAGGGUGACAACGAGGACGGCGGGGAACAAAGUCACUCCUGCGCUGGGCAGCGGCGGGAGGGUCGGGGGUGGGGGGACAGGUCCCGAAGGGGCAAUGGGAGGGGCCAAAUUGCUGGAGGGGUUUCAGGAGCAGAGGUCGGUCUAGGGGAGGGCCGUGGGGGAAGGGCCUGGAGAAGGUGGACGCAAGUCUGGAGGGGCCAGGGAGGGUGAAGAGACGAUGGACGAGCGGUCAAGGCGGGAUCCCGUGAGCCUUUAGAGGAAGAGCGUGGCGGGCGUCGGAGGCCGGCGGAGGCCAGCUGCCUGGAAAUGGGCGGGGCCACAACGGGCCGGGGGUGGAGGAAGGGACCCGGCCGGCUCGGACUGUGGCCCGAGGAAGCCGGGCCGGGGGCGGGGCCUUGUCGGUCCGAGGCGGGGUUGGAGGUGACGGGGGCGGGGCCUGGGGAGCCGGGAGCCGGUCAGGGCGGCCGGGAGGUGAGUCAGGAGGUGGCCGGGGGCGGCGCCUUGCGCAGGG